GACGUAGGGUCCAAGCGUUGUCCGGAUUUACUGGGCGUAAAGAGCGCGUAGGCGGCUCGGUAAGUGUGAAGUGAAAUCUCCAGGGCUCAACCCGGAAACUGCUUUACAUACUGUCGAGCUGGAGUGAUGAAGAGGUUUGUGGAAUUCCUGGUGUAGCGGUGAAAUGCGUUGAUAUCAGGAGGAACACCCAUGGCGAAGGCAGCAAACUGGUCAUCAACUGACGCUGAGGCGCGAAAGCGUGGGUAGCAAACAGG
rnacentral:rRNA from 1 species